UGGGGAAUAUUGCACAAUGGGCGCAAGCCUGAUGCAGCCAUGCCGCGUGUAUGAAGAAGGCCUUCGGGUUGUAAAGUACUUUCAGCGGGGAGGAAGGCGAUAAGGUUAAUAACCUUGUCGAUUGACGUUACCCGCAGAAGAAGCACCGGCUAACUCCGUGCCAGCAGCCGCGGUAAUACGGAGGGUGCAAGCGUUAAUCGGAAUUACUGGGCGUAAAGCGCACGCAGGCGGUCUGUCAAGUCGGAUGUGAAAUCCCCGGGCUCAACCUGGGAACUGCAUACGAAACUGGCAGGAUAGAGUCUUGUAGAGGGGGGUAGAAUUCUAGGUGUAGCGGUGAAAUGCGUACCGAUCUGGAGGAAUACCGGUGGCGAAGGCGGCCCCCUGGACAAAGACUGACGCUCAGGUGCGAAAGCGUGGGGAGCAAACA
rnacentral:rRNA from 1 species